AUUGAAAGCUGGCGGCAGGCCUAACACAUGCAAGUCGAGCGGAUGAAGGGAGCUUGCUCCUGGAUUCAGCGGCGGACGGGUGAGUAAUGCCUAGGAAUCAGCCUGGUAGGGGGGGAUAACGUCCGGAAACGGGCGCUAAUACCGCAUACGACCUGAGGGAGAAAGUGGGGGAUCUUCGGACCUCACGCUAUCAGAUGAGCCUAGGUCGGAUUAGCUAGUUGGUGGGGUAAAGGCCUACCAAGGCGACGAUCCGUAACAGGUCUGAGAGGGUGAUCAGUCACACUGGAACUGAGCCACGGUCCAGACUCCUACGGGAGGCAGCAGUGGGGAAUUUUGGACAAUGGGCUCAAGCCUGAUCCAGCCAUGCCGCGUGUGUGAAGAAGGUCUUCGGAUUGUAAAGCACUCUAAGUUGGGAGGAAGGGCAGUAUGUUAAUACCUUGCUGUUUUGACGUUACCCACAGAAUAAGCACCGGCUAACUUCUUG
rnacentral:rRNA from 1 species